rnacentral:rRNA from 1 species
ACUGCUAUCAGAAUGAGAUUAAGCCAUGCGAGUCAACGUAGCAAUACGUGGCACACGGCUCAGUAACACGUAGUCAACAUAACCAGAGGACGUGGAUAAACUCGGGAAACUGAGGCUAAACCGCGAUAGACCAAGAUACCUGGAAUGGUUUUUGAUCAAAAUCUAUAUGGCCUUUGGAUUGGACUGCGACCGAUCAGGCUGUUGGUGAGGUAAUGGCCCACCAAACCUGUAACCGGUACGGGCUCUGAGAGGAGGAGCCCGGAGAUGGGCACUUAGACAAGGGCCCAGGCCCUAUGGGGCGCAGCAGGCGCGAAACCUCUGCAAUAAGCGAAAGCUUGACAGGGUUACUCUGAGUGAUUUCCGCUAAGGAAGUCUUUUGGCACCUCUAAAAAUGGUGCAGAAUAAGGGGUGGGCAAGUCUGGUGUCAGCCGCCGCGGUAAUACCAGCACCCCGAGUGGUCGGGACGAUUAUUGGGCCUAAAGCAUCCGUAGCCGGUCCUGCAAGUCCUCCGUUAAAUCCACCCGCUCAACGGUUGGGCCGCGGGGGAUACUACAGGGCUAGGAGGCGGGAGAGGCAAGCGGUACUCGAUGGGUAGGGGUAAAAUCCACUGAUCCAUUGAAGACCACCAGUGGCGAAGGCGGCUUGCCAGAACGCGCUCGACGGUGAGGGAUGAAAGCUGGGGGAGCAAACCGGAUUAGAUACCCGGGUAGUCCCAGCUGUAAACGAUGCAGACUCGGUGAUGGGCUGGCUUCGUGCCAACCCGGUGCCGCAGGGAAGCCGUUAAGUCCGCCGCCUGGGGAGUACGGUCGCAAGACUGAAACUUAAAGGAAUUGGCGGG